UAAAGAUUUUAAGGGCGUACGGUGGAUGCCUUGGCGAUAUCAGCCGAAGAAGGACGCGGUAAGCUGCGAUAAGCUACGGAGAGGUGCAAGCAACCUUUGACCCGUAGAUUUCCGAAUGGGGGAACCCGGCAGUGGUUAUGCACUGUCACCCAUAGCUUAGACUAUGAGGAGGGCACCUGGGGAACUGAAACAUCUAAUUACCCAGAGGAAAAGUAAUCAAACGAGAUUUUCUUAGUAGCGGCGAGCGAACGGGAAAGAGGCCAAACCGGAGCGGGCAACCGCACCGGGGUUGAGGACAGUCAUCAAGUGUAAAUGAGGUAGAAGAAUCGAGUUGGAAAGCUCAGCCGCAGAAGGUGAAAGCCCUGUAAUCGAAACCUUGCAUACAUGGGACUGUAUCCAGAGUACCACGAGACACGUGAAACCUUGUGGGAAGCAGGGGGGACCACCCUCCAAGCCAAAAUACUGAUAUCGACCGAUAGCGCAUAGUACCGUGAGGGAAAGGUGAAAAGAACCCCUGGCGGGGAGUGAAAGAGAACCUGAAACCGUAUGUCUACAAACAGUCGAAGUCUGUAUAUAUAUCAGGACGACGGCGUGCCUAUUGAAGAAUGAACCGACGAGUUACUGUUGCUAGCGAGGUUAAGUGGAAAACAUGGAGCCGCAGCGAAAGCGAGUCUGAACAGGGCGUUCAGUUAGUAAUAGUAGACCCGAAACCGUAGUGAUCUAUCCAUGGCCAGGUUGAAGCACAGGUAAAAUUGUGUGGAGGACCGAACUCGUGAGCGUUGAAAAGCUUUGGGAUGAGUUGUGGAUAGGGGUGAAAUGCCAAUCGAACACGGAGAUAGCUGGUUCUCCCCGAAAUAGCUUUAGGGCUAGCCUCGAGGUUGAGAGUAUAGGCGGUAGAGCACUGAUCGGGCUAGGGGCCAUACCGGUUACCGAACCUAGUCAAACUACGAAUGGCUAUACUUAUACUCGGGAGUCAGACAGUGAAUGAUAAGGUCCAUUGUCAAGAGGGAAACAGCCCAGAACACCGACUAAGGUCCCAAAUGUUACACUAAGUGGCGAAGGAUGUGGAAUUUCCAAAACAACCAGGAUGUUGGCUUAGAAGCAGCCACCAUUUAAAGAGUGCGUAAUAGCUCACUGGUCGAGAGACUCUGCGCCGAAAAUGUCCGGGGCUAAAGUGUAAAACCGAAGUCGUGUCAUAUGCAGCAAUGUAUAUGGGUAGGGGAGCGUUCUCAUCGGGCUGAAGCAGUACCGUAAGGAGUUGUGGACUGAUGAGAAGUGAGAAUGUCGGUAUGAGUAGCGAAAAGAAUGGUGAGAAUCCAUUCCACCGAAAGCCUAAGGGUUCCUGAGCAACGAUCGUCGUCUCAGGGUAAGUCGGGACCUAAGCCGAGGCGGAAAAGCGUAGGCGAUGGACAACAGGUUGAAAUUCCUGUACCGGUGUGAAUCGUUUGAUCGAUGGAGUGACACAGUAAGGUAGGUCAGCACGCGAUUGGAAGUGCGUGUUUAAGCAGGUAGGUUGAGCUAUAGGCAAAUCCGUAGCUCUAAAAGCUGAGAUGUGAUGACGAGUGACUAGCAAUAGUCGCGAAGUGAUUGAUCCUACACUGUCGAGAAAAGCUUCUAGGUAGAGACACAUCGCCCGUACCAAAACCGACACAGGUAGGCGGGGAGAGAAUCCUAAGGUGCGCGGGAAAACCCUCGUUAAGGAACUCGGCAAAAUGCCUCCGUAACUUCGGGAAAAGGAGGACUCAUGUAGUGUGAAGAGCAGCAACGCUUGGAGCAUGAAUGAGUGGCACAAGAGAGGCGCAAGCGACUGUUUACCACAAACACAGGUGCCUGCUAAAGCGAAAGCUGAUGUAUAGGUGCUGACACCUGCCCGGUGCUGGAAGGUUAAGAGGAGGGGUUAGACUUCGGUCGAAGCUCUGAAUUGAAGCCCCAGUAAACGGCGGCCGUAACUAUAACGGUCCUAAGGUAGCGAAAUUCCUUGUCGGGUAAGUUCC
rnacentral:rRNA from 1 species